UACGUAGGGGACUAGCGUUGUCCGGAAUCAUUGGGCGUAAAGCGCGCGUAGGCGGCCCGGUAAGUCCGCUGUGAAAGUCAAAGGCUCAACCUUUGAAUGUCAGCGGAUACUGCCGGGCUAGAGUCCGGAAGAGGCGAGUGGAACUCCUGGUGUAGCGGUGGAAUGCGCAGAUAUCAGGAAGAACACCAACGGCGAAGGCAGCUCGCUGGGACGUUACUGACGCUGAGACGCGAAAGCGUGGGGAGGCAAACAGG
rnacentral:rRNA from 1 species